UACGGAGGAUGCGAGCGUUAUCCGGAUUUAUUGGGUUUAAAGGGUGCGUAGGCGGAUUUUUAAGUCAGCGGUAAAAUGUCCGGGCUCAACCCGGGCCGGCCGUUGAAACUGGGGAUCUUGAGUGGGCGAGAAGUAUGCGGAAUGCGUGGUGUAGCGGUGAAAUGCUUAGAUAUCAUGAAGAACUCCGAUCGCGAAGGCAAGUGUCCGGGGUGCAACUGACGCUGAGGCUCGAAAGUGCGGGUAUCAAACAGG
rnacentral:rRNA from 1 species